rnacentral:lncRNA from 1 species
ACUUUAACACUUCACACUUAAACAAACACUUUAACACUUCACACUUAAACAAACACUUUAACAUUUAACACCUUAACACAAACACUUCACACUUUACACUUCACAUACUUAGACAAACACUAACAUUUAACACUUAAGCACACACUUUAACACUUAACACUUAAACACACACUUUAACACUUUAACACCUUAACACCCAAACAACAAACCAACACCCCAACGCCCAACACUAACACUAAUUGAUCUAAUUGAUUUUAGAUGUACUGUUCCUAGAGAACUCACAUUUAUAUUAUAAUAUAGAAAAGAGGCUUAUCCAAGUAUAUAAUAUAGAAAUGAGGUUUGUGCAUAAUAUAAAUGCAAAUGAACAUAACCUGAGUUUUGAAGAACAGAAACCAAGCAUAAAACAGAAAUUUGAGACUAUACCCAACACUGAGACAAAUUUCUUAGCUAAACAAGAGGAGCUGCUAGAUUAGCGAAGAAGAGGACAAGGCGAACACUUCAGUGUUUGUACAAACACUUAACAACUACUGCACAAACACUUAACAAACACUUCACAAGCACUUAAAAAGCACUUGAAAAACACUUAACAAAUACUUUAACAAACACUUCACAAACAUCAUACUUCACACUUCCACACUUUCACACUUAAACACUUAACACUUUUACACACAAACACACUCAUACACUUGCACACUUCACACUUAACAAACACUAACACUUAAACAUCACACUUCACACUUUCACACAAACACUAACACUUAAACAUCACACUUCACACUUUCACACAAACACUAACAUAUAAACAUCAAAUUUCACACUUUCACACAAACACUUAACACCUUAACACCUAAACACACAAACACACUUACACGUUUCACACUUCAACAAACACUUCACAAAGAACUUACACUUAACAAGCAAUUAACAAAACACUUACAAAAAACUUCAAAAACAUUUCACAAGGACUUAACAAAUACUAACACUUAACAAAUAGCAACACGUAAACAAACACUUAAACAUCACACUUAACACCUAAACACCCAAACGCACAAACACAGAAACACAGAAACACGCAAACACUUAAACACUUCAAACCACUUCACACUUCACACCACUUUACACUUGACACUACACACUUCACACUUCACACUUCAUCAAACACUUUAACACUUCACACUCAAACAAACACUUUAACAUUUAACACUUUAACACAAACACACAAACACUUUACACGCUUCUUACUUAAACAAACACUAACAUUUAACACUUAAACACACACUUUAACACCUUAACACCCAAACAACACACCAAGACCCCAACACGCAACACUAACACUAAUUAAUUUUAGAUGUACUAUUCUUAGAGAAUUCAUAUUUAUAUUAUAAUAUAGAAAUGAGGCUUAUCCAAGUAUAUAAUAUAGAAAUGAGCCUUAUGCAUAAUAUAAAUGCAAAUGAACAUAACCUGAGUUUUGAAAAACAGAAACCAAGCAUAAAACAGAAAUUUGAGACUAUACUCAACACUGAGACAGAUUUCUCAGCGAAACGGGAGGAGCUGCUGGAUUCACGAAGACGAGGACGAGGCCAAUUGUGGAGUGGCAGGGUUGUUCAUAAGCUCGUUUGGAUAAAAUUUAUAUCCAAACCAACUUGAUCCAAACAUAGAUUAAAUCUAGCAAUUUUUUCAAGUGAACCGACCCAACCCGACAGCAACCAUUUGACGGAUUCAGUGGACUAGUUGAAUUUUAUUCGCAAAGUGCAAGGCUCACUGUCAACACCGCAUUACAUUUUUUGAGGGAAUUUUAAAUGUUAAUAACACUAAAUUACAUUUUUUUUAAAAUAACAUAAAAUACAUUAAACUAAUAUUAAAAAAUUCAUUUACCACAUAUUAUCAUAUUUAAAAUAUAUAAUAGGGAGAUUUACUACUUAAUCCUUGGGUAUUGCCAUUAUUUACAAGUCAGUCCCUGUAUUUUCAAAACCCUAUUAUAACACCCCUCUCUUUUAUUUCCGUUAACAAAACAAUCCUUCCAUCCAUUUUUUACCCCUUCUACCAUUCAAAUCCUAGUAAGAAGAGAGAGAAAAAUUAUAAAAUCUUAAAUUACCCUUCUAGCCAAAGAGAAUCGAAUUGCCGCCUCCUUUACCACUCGCACCACUCAAAUUGCCGACCUCAGACCGCCCUUGAAGGUGUAGGGGAAACAAGAGGUGUCUUUCUAUUGAGAAGAGGAAGUAGGAAGCGAGUGAGGAAAGGAGGAUGCAGAUGAGGCAAUUGAGAAGAUGAUGACUCCGCAUGGUGGGACUCGAGCUUAAAUCUUCGAUAGUGGCCGCAUGUUCAACGGAAGAUGGCUUAGGUGGAUGCAAAUUAGGCAACAGAUGGAAAAGCAUCCAAGCUUUGGUGGGGCACUUGAGAAACAGAAGAAUUUUCGUGGGUUAGUGACGGAGAGGAGCUUAGUUUUAUUAGUGGUGGUAAGAGGAAGAAGAGUAAGGAGUCACUUAGAAAGCAAGGCGACUCACAAGCUGCUCAAGCAAGGAAUUUGAGUAGAGUUAAGGAGAUUCUUCAAAACUGUGAUGAUCAUGAUGCCUGUCCAUGGGAAGAAAUAUCGAGAUUUCCUUUCUCUCUCCACCGCUUCCUCACACUCAUACCCCUACUAGACCUUAGUUCUCAACUCUCUCCAUAGCCAGCCCAUCCUCUCUGAUUACCAAGCAGAAACUCUCAUUGCCAUUGAAACAGACCCAACAGAGUCCACCUUCUCCGUUUAGUUGCAUCACAUUGAUGCAUUAUCCUUGAAUAAAACCCAACAGGAAUUCUUCAUCCUAAUGCUCAACUACGAAGAAUCGUGAGUCAAGGCUCUGUCCUCCCUUGCCACCUCAGCCGCAGCAGCCGGUGGUCGGGCCACAGGUGAGUUUAGCAGCUCCGCAAUUUCUAGUCUUGCUCAAGGCAGCGGUGAAUACUUCACGCGCAUAGGCAUGGGUACCCCUCCCAAGUAUGUGGCCACGACAAUGAAAGGUUGUUCGUUGGUGCUGCCGGCUUGUUGGGAUUUGGCCAGGGAAGAUUAUCAUUUCCCUCUCAAAGUGGUCGCCGGAUGUUUUAAUAGAGGUGGGAAUUAAUUUAGAACUUAAGGGUAAUUUACUCUUUCUCAAUGAGAAAGCGGUGAAAAUGGAUGGAAGGACUACAUGGUUAACGAAGGUAAAAGUGAGAGACGUUUUAAUACGUUUCUGAAAAUGUAGGGACGGGCUCGGCUCGUUAAUAAUGACAAAACCCAAACUAAAUAGUAAAUCUCCCUAUAUAAUAAUAUGAUAAUUAUGUUUUAAAAUACUAAAAGAAAUAGACUUUUUAAAUAUUACGUUGUCUCAAAUAGUCUUCUCUUCUCAUGCCAAAUAAUUAAAAAAGCAACAAAACUACAAAUUUUAUAAACUAAAUGUUUCUAAAUUCUUCAUUCUGCUACUUUCUGACUAUUGUUGAGAUAACUCUGGAGAUUUUGAAAAUAAAAAAUAUGGAAAAUACACAUUAGAUAAAUGUAAG